rfam:Megasphaera sp. DJF_B143 contig_6, whole genome shotgun sequence.
AAGAUAAUAUCACCGAAGGUGAGUUAUACUUUUCGUAGUGUCAUUUGUUAUAUUUUUCACAACUGCCUGGAUCCGAAGUGGACCGGGACGGUGAC